AAGAAACUAACAGGAUUCCCCCAGUAACGGCGAGUGAAGAGGGAAAAGCCCAAAUUUGUAAUCUGGCUCUUUCACAAGGGUCCCGAGUUGUAAUUUUGAGAACUGUUUUCUGUGCUGGACCAUUUCUAAGUCUGUUGGAAAACAGCAUCAUAGAGGGUGAUAAUCCCGUUUGUGAUAUGGACUACCAGGGCUAUAUGAUACAGUUUCUAAGAGUCGAGUUGUUUGGGAAUGCAGCUCAAAGUGGGUGGUAAAUUCCAUCUAAGGCUAAAUAUAGGUGAGAGACCGAUAGCAUACAAGUACCGUGAGGGAAAGAUGAAAAGAACUUUGGAAAGAGAGUUAACAGUACGUGAAAUUGUUGUAAAAGAAACAUUUAAACUUGUCGUUGUGCUUGUCAGUUCAGCCCUCUUAUCAGGGUGUAUUCUGGCAAAUCACGGACCAACAUCAGUUUUUGAGUGCUGGAUAAGGGUCUUGGGAAUGUAGCAGUUUCGGCUGUGUUAUAGCCCAGGAUUUAGAUACAGUGCUUAGGACUGAGAACAAUUCGCAGCAAGCCCUUUAUUGUGGCAGCCUAUCAUGGGCACCCAUGCUGAGGAUGUUGGUGAGAUAGAUUUAAAUGAC
rnacentral:rRNA from 1 species